AGACUACGACAUGCUAGUCGAGCGCUCCUAGCCAAUUUGGGAGCGCGGCACACAGCUCAGUAACACGUGGCUAACCUGCCCGUUGGGACCAGAAAUACCCCCAGGAAACUGGGGCUAUUUUUAUAAGGAAGGAGAGAACUCUGGAAUGAGUCUUCGCUUAAAAGAGGCUGGGGUUAUGCUCUCCAGUUUCGCCCAAGGAUGGGGCCGCGACCGAUCAGGUUGUUGGUGAGGUAAUGGCUCACCAAGCCUUUUACCGGUGCGGGCCGUGGACGUGAGAGCGGGAGCCCGGAGAUGGGCAUGAGACUAGGCCCACCCAGGCCCUACGGGGCGCAGCAGUCGCGAAAACUUUCGCAAUAAGCGAGAAAACAGCCGGGGGGGUCUUUUUUCUCCUUUCUUGGGGAGAGAUGUUUUUACCCCAGUCUAGAACGCUGGGGGAAUAAGGAGAGGGCAAGUCUGGUGUCAGCCGCCGCGGUAAUACCAGCUCUCCGAGUGGUGUGGAUGUUUAUUGGGCCUAAAGCAUCCGUAGCUGGCUAGGUUAGUCCCCUGUUAAAUCCACCGAAUUAAUCGUUGGAUUGCGGGGGAUACUGCUUGGCUAGGGGACGAGAGAGGCAGACGGUAUUUCCGGGGUAGGGGUGAAAUCCUAUAAUCCCGGGAAGACCACCAGUGGCGAAGGCUGUCUGCUAGAACGCGCCCGACGGUGAGGGAUGAAAGCUGGGGGAGCGAACCGGAUUAGAUACCCGGGUAGUCCCAGCUGUAAACGAUGCAGACUAGGUGUUUGGACGGCCACGUGCCGUUCUAGUGCCGCAGGGAAGCUGUUAAGUCCGCCGCCUGGGGAGUACGAUCGCAAGAUUGAAACUUAA
rnacentral:rRNA from 1 species